AGAGUUUGAUCCUCGGCUCGAGGACGAGCGCUGGCGGCACGCUUAACACAUGCAAGUCGAACGGACUUGAGAGGGCUUGCUCUCUUAAGUUAGUGGCGGACGGGUGAGUAACACGUGAGCAACCUGCCUUUAAGAGUGGGAUAACGGUCGGAAACGACCGCUAAUACCGCAUAACAUACACGAACCGCAUGGUUUGUGUAUCAAAGAUUUAUCGCUUAAAGAUGGGCUCGCGUCUGAUUAGCUUGUUGGUGAGGUAACGGCUCACCAAGGCGACGAUCAGUAGCCGUACUGAGAGGUAGAACGGCCACAUUGGGACUGAGACACGGCCCAGACUCCUACGGGAGGCAGCAGUGGGGAAUAUUGCACAAUGGGGGAAACUCUGAUGCAGCGAUGCCGCGUGAGGGAAGAAGGUUUUCGGAUUGUAAACCUCUGUCUUAAGGGACGAUAAUGACGGUACCUUAGGAGGAAGCUCCGGCUAACUACGUG
rnacentral:rRNA from 1 species